rnacentral:rRNA from 1 species
CAAUAGCGUAUAUUAAAGUUGUUGCGGUAAAAAAGCUCGUAGUUGGAUUUCUACCGAAGAUAGCCGGUCGGGUCUUCGACCUUGUAUCUGGUUUUGUCUUUGGUAUCCUCAUAGGGAACGUUUCUGCGCUUUAUUGCGUGGUGCGGUAUCUUUGACUUUUACUUUGAGGAAAUUAGAGUGUUCACGGCAGGCAAACGCCUUGAAUAUAUUAGCAUGGAAUAAUAACAUAGGAUCUUCGUCCUAUUUUGUUGGUUUCUAGGGCUAAGAUAAUGAUUAAUAGGGAUAAUUGGGGGCAUCUGUAUCAACGCGUCAGAGGUGGAAUUCUUGGAUUGCGUUGCGACAAACUACUGCGAAAGCAUUUGCCAAGGAUGUUUUCAUUGA